UUUUACAGAAUAAUGAUUUUGAUAAAUGGAUAUUUCAUAUUCGUUCUAAUUACGCGAUACUUAAUACAGUUGAGUAAUAAUACAGUUGAAUAAUAUUUUAAAUUUUAUAAAAUUGCUUGUAAAGCAAAUUACAAUGAAAUCCGUCCAACGGAUAAUGUAGAUAAAGUAGAUUCAAGGACAUUUGAAUAUUAAUUUUUGAUAUUUUUUUUCAUAUUUUCACUGUUUUUAUCAUACAAUAUAUAUAUAUGAUUUUUGUAGCAUUAAUAAUGAAUAUAAAGAAAAACGAAUUAAAAAACGAA
rnacentral:lncRNA from 1 species